GACGAACGCUGGCGGCGUGCUUAACACAUGCAAGUCGAACGGAAAGGCCCAGCUUGCUUGGUACUCGAGUGGCGAACGGGUGAGUAACACGUGGGUGAUCUGCCCCUGACUUUGGGAUAAGCCUGGGAAACUGGGUCUAAUACCGGAUAUGACCUUACAUCGCAUGGUGUUUGUUGGAAAGAUUUUGGGGUUGGGGAUGGGCCCGCGGCCUAUCAGCUUGUUGGUGGGGUAAUGGCCUACCAAGGCGACGACGGGUAGCCGACCUGAGAGGGUGAUCGGCCACACUGGGACUGAGACACGGCCCAGACUCCUACGGGAGGCAGCAGUGGGGAAUAUUGCAGAAUGGGCGCAAGCCUGAUGCAGCGACGCCGCGUGAGGGAUGACGGCCUUCGGGUUGUAAACCUCUUUCACCAGGGACGAAGCGUGAGUGACGGUACCUGGAGAAGAAGCACCGGCCAAAUACGUG
rnacentral:rRNA from 1 species